rnacentral:tRNA from 9 species
CGGGGCGUGGCGCAGCCUGGUAGCGCACCUGCUUUGGGAGCAGGGGGUCGGAGGUUCAAAUCCUCUCGCCCCGACCA